rnacentral:rRNA from 1 species
UACGGUAGGGGGCAAGCGUUGUCCGGAUUUAUUGGGCGUAAAGAGCGUGUAGGCGGCCUGAAAGGUCAGCUGUGAAAACUCGAGGCUCAACCUCGAGACGUCGGUUGAAACCAUCUGGCUAGAGUCCGGAAGAGGAGUGUGGAAUUCCCGGUGUAGCGGUGAAAUGCGCAGAUAUCGGGAAGAACACCCGUGGCGAAGGCGGUUCUCUGGGCCUGUACUGACGCUGAGGAGCGAAAGCGUGGGGAGCGAACAGG